UUUCGCCUCCUGCACCUUGAGAGCCCUGGGCUACUCUGUCACAGCCCCUGUUGCCCUGCGAUCUGUAGGUCCUUGGGGACGCAUAGUUAAGGUGCCAGGACAUCCUGGAAGCUGGGAAAUGACCAUGGCUGGAGAAGGAAAGAAGGUGUGUUUUGCCUGAUUCAGGGACUAUAGAGAGAACCAAGUUCUGCAGGCCUGUCAUCUAAGUCUCAGGGCGGGGAGACCUUCCUUCCCCACGGGUUUGAGGCUAUGGCUAAGUGGUGAGCCUUGGUGAGACGCAGAAAGGAUCCAUCCCAGGCACUUGGCUAGAGGGCAAGAAAGCUUUCUAAGACCCCGAACUCCAGAUAUGCGAUGGGGCAAAUCCUGAAGCGUACAUGGCUAUCUCUCACAGCUAAAGCAUCCCUCACCCCUAUCCAGCGCUUCUUACCCCUGGCGCAAGAGAAUCACCUGCGGGGAGGAAAACUUUCAAAAUCCCUUAAACCCAAGUUGUAACCGCACAACUAAAUCAGAAUCCUUGGAGCUGGAUCUGAAAAAAAUAUGGUUGAAAGUCGUGCAGGUGAUUACAAUGUGUAGGCAAGCCAGAAAACCAUGGCUUU
rnacentral:lncRNA from 1 species